rnacentral:rRNA from 1 species
GAUGAACGCUGGCGGCGUGCCUAAUACAUGCAAGUCGAGCGGACAGAUGGUGAGCUCUCUCCCCUGACGUUAGCGGCGGACGGGUGAGUAACACGUGGAUAACCUUCUUAUUAUUCUGGGAGAACUUCGUGAAACCGCAGCUACUACCGGAUCAUAUAAUGAACCGCAUGGUUCAAUAGUGAUAGACAGCUUUGCUGUCUCUUAUAGCUGGAUCCGCGUCGCAUUAGCUAGUUGGUAAGGUAAAGGCUUACCAAGGCAACGAUGCGUAGCCGAUCUGAGAGGAUGAUCGGCCACACUGGAACUGAGACACGGUCCAGACUCCUACGGGAGGCAGCAGUAGGGAAUCUUCGACAAUGGGCGCAAGCCUGACCCAGCAAUGCCGCGUGAGUGAUGAAGGUCUUCGGGUCGUAAAGCUCUUUUAUUGGGAAAGAACAGCUGCAGGUGAAUACCCCGCUGUUCUGACGGUACCUAAAGAAUAAGCCACGGCUAACUUCGUG